rnacentral:hammerhead_ribozyme from 1 species
GAGCGAAACGCGCUCGGGCAACCGGGUGCGUCGUCGGGGUGUUGUGGCCCCGGCCUGAUGAGCAGCUGGAG